GCCCAGGGUAAGUCGGGACCUAAGGCGAGGCCGACAGGCGUAGUCGAUGGACAACGGGUUGAUAUUCCCGUACCCGCUUUGAAGCGCCAACGCUGAACCUCUUGAUGCUAAGCCCGUGAAGCCGGCCCGGAGUCUUCGGAUGAUGGGACGUGGUGGAGCCGGUGACCCGAUGGGGUAGUAGGUGAGCGAUGGGGUGACGCAGGAAGGUAGUCCAGCCCGGGCGGUGGUUGUCCCGGGGUAAGGGUGUAGGACGAACGGUAGGCAAAUCCGCCG
rnacentral:ncRNA from 1 species